rnacentral:rRNA from 1 species
AACGAACGCUGGCGGCAUGCCUAAUACAUGCAAGUUGAGCGCUGAAGGUUGGUACUUGUACCGACUGGAUGAGCAGCGAACGGGUGAGUAACGCGUGGGGAAUCUGCCUUUGAGCGGGGGACAACAUUUGGAAACGAAUGCUAAUACCGCAUAAAAACUUUAAACACAAGUUUUAAGUUUGAAAGAUGCAAUUGCAUCACUCAAAGAUGAUCCCGCGUUGUAUUAGCUAGUUGGUGAGGUAAAGGCUCACCAAGGCGAUGAUACAUAGCCGACCUGGGAGGGUGAUCGGCCACAUUGGGACUGGGACACGGCCCAAACUCCUACGGGAGGCAGCAGUAGGGAAUCUUCGGCAAUGGACGAAAGUCUGACCGAGCAACGCCGCGUGAGUGAAGAAGGUUUUCGGAUCGUAAAACUCUGUUGGUAGAGAAGAACGUUGGUGAGAGUGGAAAGCUCAUCAAGUGACGGUAACUACCCAGAAAGGGACGGCUAACUACGUGCCAGCCGCCGCGGUAA